CGUAGGGUGCAAGCGUUAAUCGGAAUUACUGGGCGUAAAGCGUGCGCAGGCGGUUUUGUAAGUCUGUCGUGAAAUCCCCGGGCUCAACCUGGGAAUUGCGAUGGAGACUGCAAGGCUAGAAUCUGGCAGAGGGGGGUAGAAUUCCACGUGUAGCAGUGAAAUGCGUAGAGAUGUGGAGGAACACCGAUGGCGAAGGCAGCCCCCUGGGUCAAGAUUGACGCUCAUGCACGAAAGCGUGGGGAGCAAACAGGAUUAGAUACCCUGGUAGUCCACGCCCUAAACGAUGUCUACUAGUUGUCGGGUUUUAAUUAACUUGGUAACGCAGCUAACGCGUGAAGUAGACCGCCUGGGGAGUACGGUCGCAAGAUUAA
rnacentral:rRNA from 1 species